AUUGAACGCUGGCGGCAGGCCUAACACAUGCAAGUCGAGCGGCAGCGGGAGAGUAGCUUGCCACUUUUGCCGGCGAGCGGCGGACGGGUGAGUAAUGCCUGGGAAAUUGCCCAGUCGAGGGGGAUAACAGUUGGAAACGACUGCUAAUACCGCAUACGCCCUACGGGGGAAAGCAGGGGACCUUCGGGCCUUGCGCGAUUGGAUAUGCCCAGGUGGGAUUAGCUAGUUGGUGAGGUAAUGGCUCACCAAGGCGACGAUCCCUAGCUGGGCUGAGAGGAUGAUCAGCCACACUGGAACUGAGACACGGUCCAGACUCCUACGGGAGGCAGCAGUGGGGAAUAUUGCACAAUGGGGGAAACCCUGAUGCAGCCAUGCCGCGUGUGUGAAGAAGGCCUUCGGGUUGUAAAGCACUUUCAGCGAGGAGGAAAGGUUGGUGCCUAAUACGUAUCAACUGUGACGUUACUCGCAGAAGAAGCACCGGCUAACUCCGUGCCAGCCGCCGCAGUAACAC
rnacentral:rRNA from 1 species